AGAUUUACAAUAAAUUAACAGAAAUGGGCAUAGCUUAUUAAUCAAGAAAGCCCAAAUCCAAGCAGAUCAAGCCAUCAGAAUGAGACUGAGAAGUGAUAAAAUAGCAUCAGGUACACCAGGAAACAAAAGGGGGGGCUGUCCUUUAGAAAUUUCAGCAGAACCCUAUCCAAUAUAAAUUAACGGACAUCACUAAGGCUUAGAGGUCCCCUAUGUGAAGAUUUGAGAAAACUAUACUGUUAAAAUCUCCACCGGUUUUUGUUUCCUGGUGGUGGGGGUGUAGGAUAAAAAGACAGCUAGAAGAAAGGUGCUCAGGAGAGAGAGUGAAAGAAGACACACCUAUUUAUAUAGGUACAUGUAUGUAUGUAUGUAUGUACAAGUUCUUCAAAUACAUAGAAA